rnacentral:rRNA from 1 species
GACAGAGGUGCCGAGCGUUAGGCGGAAUCACUGGGCUUAAAGCGUGUGUAGGCGGAUCCGUAAGUACCUUGUGAAAUCCCACGGCUCAACCGUGGAACUGCUUGGUAUACUGCGGGUCUUGAGCUAUCUAGGGGCAACCGGAACAAACGGUGGAGCGGUGAAAUGCGUAGAUAUCAGGAGGAACACCUGUGGUGUAGACGGCUUACUGGACCAUGACUGACGCUGAGGUACGAAAGCGUGGGGAGCAAACAGG